UAAAUCCCACUACCGACUCCCCCCCCCCCUCCUAUAUUGUUCACUACCAGAGAAUUCUAGUUUCUCAGCGACAAAAACACAACUAUCCCAAAGUUAGUUAUAGAAACUUAUUUUUAUGUGUCUCCCAAGACCCCAACACCCUGUUUUCACCCUUCCCACCCCUUUCAAUAGUUUUAACCGUGAUAAAAUGUUAAUUUAUGUUAAAAACUGUUUAAAUUGAGGGAAUCACACACAUAAUGGAACUGCAGUUGAGAUAGUUAGAGAGGAAGAUAGAAGGGAGCAAAGUGAUUUUAAACUCUCGUCUCUCAUUCAGUAUUCUCUUGCCUUCCAUGAGAAAAGGAUCAAACUCGCAACAAGAGAAAAAUAUUGAAAUAAAAAUGUUUUACUCAAGAAGUGAAAUACAAAAUUAAAGAAUUUAGCGGAAUUUCAGUAAUGGGAAAAAGUGGUUUGCUUUAGUAGACCAGGACGAUGAAUUUUUAUUAUCUCCUUUUAAGUUUUGGUUGUGUUCUACAGUUCCGUGGGCUUGAGUGUACAUAUCACAACCAGUUUGCAG